rnacentral:rRNA from 1 species
CCUACGGGUGGCUGCAGUGGGGAAUAUUGGACAAUGGGGGGAACCCUGAUCCAGCCAUGCCGCGUGUGUGAAGAAGGCCCUCGGGUCGUAAAGCACUUUCAGUGAGGAAGAACGCCUGGUGGUUAAUACCCAUCAGGAAAGACAUCACUCACAGAAGAAGCACCGGCUAACUCCGUGCCAGCAGCCGCGGUAAUACGGAGGGUGCGAGCGUUAAUCGGAAUUACUGGGCGUAAAGCGCGCGUAGGUGGCUUGAUAAGCCGGUUGUGAAAGCCCCGGGCUCAACCUGGGAACGGCAUCCGGAACUGUCAAGCUAGAGUGCAGGAGAGGAAGGUAGAAUUCCCGGUGUAGCGGUGAAAUGCGUAGAGAUCGGGAGGAAUACCAGUGGCGAAGGCGGCCUUCUGGACUGACACUGACACUGAGGUGCGAAAGCGUGGGUAGCAAACAGGAUUAGAUACCCCAGUAGUC